rnacentral:rRNA from 1 species
CCUUGACCGGAAGGUCUGGGCAAUCUUAUGAAACUCUGUCGUGCUGGGGAUAGAGCAUUGCAAUUAUUGCUCUUCAACGAGGAAUUCCUAGUAAGCGCAUGUCAUCAGCAUGCGUUGAUUACGUCCCUGCCCUUUGUACACA